AUCCCAACGGGAAGGAAGAGGCGCUCAGAGCUAGCGGAGUUGCCCACUCCCAGGGACAUCUGCAGGGGACCCAGCUCAGCAGGCCUCCCGGAGGACUUCUGAUGGGCCAGUCCACCUUACGAUCAGGCUGCAGCCAUCCCAGGGCAGUGCCAGCCACAACCAUCUCCCUCCCGGCAGCUGUGUUCAGGCCUAGCUGAUUGGGAGGGCCCAUUGGCAGCACAGGGCUGCCGGGGGGCGUGGCUGUAGAGCCUAAAAGGCCCCGCCCUGCAGGCCUGCUCCAGCUCUCUCUGUUGCCUGGGGCAGGCUCUCAGGAGCAGCUCCGAGAGUGUGGAGGGAAGAGAAACGAGUUAAGGAAGGAGACAGGGCUCAGGUCAUGAAAGGGAAGUCUCCAGAACAGGGAGAGAGUCCACAGUGGUGUGUCACAAGCACCAAUCCUUGGACCAUUGGGGAAACGGCUUUGCCUGUGAGGAAUAUGUAAGUGAGAAACAACGUUCAGAACCUUCCCUGCUCACCUGAAUGCAUUCAGUGACCGCUCGUUCAGUUCGUCACCCAUCGUUCUUUCAUCUCACAAUCCUCAUUGGGCAGUCCCCCGGCCAGGUGGUGUGCUUGUCACGGUGGACUCAGGACAUGCAGGUCUCUGAAGGUGCCAAAGAGCCUGCAGUCACGCCAGUGGUGGAGCACUCACUGAAAUCGUUUGAUCGCGUUUCACUACACCAUUGCAUCUGUAAUGGAAACUGUGAAAGGAAACCCUCCGCAGACAGCUGUAAUCAUCCUCGGUUACCUUGGAUUUGUUUGUUAUUGUUUUUUGUUCCUUCCAUAAAUUGUGCAAUGCCUCUUAUCAGGCAAGGAUUAGCUAAUGGGCGUAUUGUUUUAUCUCACUGAAUAAUAGUGGGAGUUAGAAAAAAGGGAAAUGUUCCCCGACCUUCCCCCACUGUCUAGGCAUCAGCCUUUCUGAAUGUGAAGGAGCACAAGCCUGCACUCCUAAAAGCCCAGGCCGCUAAGCCUGCAAGCAUUCAGACAAGAUGUAUAGGCGAAGAACAGACAGCAGAUGUGGAUAAAAGCAGCAGAAAUAUUGCCAAAGGCACUUUUCUCAUUCCCAUUGACCUCCCACACCAUGUUGGAAAAGUAACUACUCUUUAUUCAUUACUUUUCUCCUGGGUAACUACCAGGCUUUUCCUACAAUGUGGAUGCCCCUUAGGCUAGAUUCUUCUUUCUCAAUGUAGAUGCCUCAGGGAAGGGAAGACAAGCUCAUUAGCAGUUGGAGACAAAAUCAGAAGCUAAUUGACAGUAACUGAGUAUAGGAAUGGGCUCUAGAAUGGAUUCCUGGUUAGAAAUUGGACUAAUGGAGGAGGGGGAGGAAGUGCGCACCGACGAGAGAGGUGAGAAAUGGAACAAGAAACCAAUGCACAUCCCAACAUGGUCUGCUGAGAAACUUAGGAUAAUGAUCAUUGUUUUCCUCGGGGUCUCAAUGGCUGGCUUGUUACUCGGGAACUGACCCUCCUCCCUGCUUCUCAACCAGUCUGGAUACGGGGACAGGCUUUCCAAAUCAGAUCAUGAGAUAAACACUUGCAUGACAAGGAAAGCAGCGUGCUUCUCUGUGAAGGAAGGACUAGUUCCAUAGCUGAGCUUCAGUUGCUCCUUCGGAAGCAGAACGGACUGCCAUCUGCAUCAACUGGAACCUUCUGGAAACCACGCAGUGCAAAGAUUCCCAGGGAAACCUACCUGAGAUUCAAUUGUUAACAAAAUGAAGGCCGGCUACACUCAGCUGGGACUUUUCAAUAAUCCCAAUAAAAGGGAAGAUUCGGGUCCUGCUCUGACUGUGGACUCCAUCUUGGUGUUUUUAAAGUCUGUGUUGGUCAGCAUUUCAAAUCUAGCCGCAUAGUUGUCAAAGAAUUUGGCGUAUGUGAUGAUUUUAAAAUAUGUCCACAGAUUGUUCAGUACUCCUCCCUUCAAGAGGUGGGCCUUAUUUCCACUCCUCUUGAGUGUGGCCUAGACUUGGUGACUCAUUUCUAACAAAUAAUAUAAGCGGAGCUGUUACUUCCAAGGUUAGGUCAUAAAAGACGUUGUGCUCUCCACCUUGCUCUGCUUUGUCUCUUGGGUCACUCAUGCUGGAGGAAGCCAGCUGCCACAUCGUGAAGACACUUAAGCAGCCCUCUGGGGACGCUCACUUUGCACAGAAAUGAGCUCUCUGUCCAACAGACAAUGAAGAACUAAGGCUUCCAGCCAACAGCCAUGUGAGUGCACCAUCUUGGAAUCAGAUCCUCUAGCCCCAGUAAAGCCUUCAGUUGCUACAGCCCCAACCAGCAUCUUUUCUGGAUCCUCUUGAGAGACCUCGAGCCAGAAUGACCCAGGAAAAACUGCAACUCCACUGUCGCCCAAACUCAGACCACUCAGACUCUGAGGCUCUGCUCCUACCACCAUCUCUGGACGCUCACAGGCUCAGGACCCAGACUGCACCACAGGAUACAAAAGUUGGCUUCCCAGAGGCACCUGGAAGAAUCAGGUCCCACUGGCUUUGCAGUUCUUGACUUCAUCUACUUUAUAUACCAAGAUGUGGAUGUUACCCUUGCUGCGGAUGUUAUGUCAUUCAGAAUCAACCUAAAGACGACCUUCUCAUAAAGACCUUUUAAAGUCGUCGCCACCAUCAUGUCCCUUGUCCCAUGUCUCUGUGCGGCACUGAUUUUCCCCUUGUUCAGUGUGUGUUGAUGCUAGUAUCUGUCUACGUGGAGGUGUACUCUCCAUAAAGAGGUG
ensembl:lncRNA